rnacentral:tRNA from 1 species
GGGUUGGUAGCUCAGUAGGUAGAGCAACGGAUUGUUAAUCCGUGGGUCCAUGGUUCGAAUCCAUGCCUGCCCGCCA